rnacentral:rRNA from 1 species
AUCAUUGGGCCUUGUGCCUAUAAACCUUAUACAACUUUCAGCAACGGAUCUCUUGGCUCUCGCAUCGAUGAAGAACGCAGCGAAAUGCGAUAAGUAAUGUGAAUUGCAGAAUUCAGUGAAUCAUCGAAUCUUUGAACGCACCUUGCGCUCCUUGGUAUUCCGAGGAGCAUGCCUGUUUGAGUGUCAUUAAAUUCUCAACCGUUAUCAACUUUUCCUGAUAAUGGCUUGGAUGUGGGGGUUUAUUUUGCUGGCUUCUCAGAUAGUCAGCUCCCCUUAAAUGCAUUAGCCGGUGCCCCGCGUGGACUGUCUAUUGGUGUGAUAAUUAUCUACGCUAUGGACAUCUGCAAUCAUAUGGGUUUGCACUGCUUCCAACAGUCUGUUAAAGACAAUACAUGACAAUUGA